rnacentral:rRNA from 1 species
GACGAACGCUGGCGGCGUGCUUAACACAUGCCAGUCGAACGGAAAGGCCCUGCUUUUGUGGGGUGCUCGAGUGGCGAACGGGUGAGUAACACGUGAGUAACCUGCCCUUGACUUUGGGAUAACUUCAGGAAACUGGGGCUAAUACCGGAUAGGAGCCCCUGCUGCAUGGUGGGGGUUGGAAAGUUUCGGCGGUUGGGGGUGGACUCGCGGCUUAUCAGCUUGUUGGUGGGGUAGUGGCUUACCAAGGCUUUGACGGGUAGCCGGCCUGAGAGGGUGACCGGCCACAUUGGGACUGAGAUACGGCCCAGACUCCUACGGGAGGCAGCAGUGGGGAAUAUUGCACAAUGGGCGGAAGCCUGAUGCAGCAACGCCGCGUGCGGGAUGACGGCCUUCGGGUUGUAAACCGCUUUCGCCUGUGACGAAGCGUGAGUGACGGUAAUGGGUAAAGAAGCACCGGCUAACUACGUG